UUCGUACUAUUCGUCGACUAUUCGCGGACUAUUCGCACUAUUCGUCGACUAUUCGCGGACUAUUCGCACUAUUCGUCGACUAUUCGCACUAUUCGCUUCACUAUUCUAGUUUUAUCAAUUGCCAACGUUGAGGUAAACUAUAAACAUAUUUUGAUCUUUAUUUAUUCAGUCAGCCAAUACUGAAAAUAUUUAAACUGAACACCCACCAAAUGAAAAUUGUUGCAGAAACAUUCUUUCCUACCAAUGUUUCGCCAUGUCGAAAUAUUGGCAGGAAACAAUGUUUCCACAACAAUGUUUCCUAUAGUUUGCCAAGCGCUUAACGAUACCCUAAAUGAUAUAGUUAAUUUUAACUACGUUUUAACUACAGUUAACGCUGACUAGCUAC